GGUGGCUCAGUGGUAGAGUGCUUGUCUUGCAUGCAUGAGGCCGUGGGUUCGAUUCCUCAGCACCA
rnacentral:tRNA from 1 species